rnacentral:tRNA from 1 species
CGGCCAGUGACGGAGUUGUCAAACGCAUCUCCGUAUCAAAGAGACUGUCGCAGGUUCGAAUCCUGUCUAGUUGG